rnacentral:rRNA from 1 species
CUGAAUACAUAGGGUAAGGAAGACAGACCCAGGGAACUGAAACAUCUAAGUACCUGGAGGAAGAGAAAGCAAAUGCGAUUUCCUGAGUAGCGGCGAGCGAAACGGAAAGAGCCCAAACCAAGAAGCUUGCCUCUUGGGGUUGUAGGACAUUCUAUACGGAGUUACAAAGGAACGAGGUAGACGAAGCGACCUGGAAAGGUCCGUCGUAGAGGGUAACAACCCCGUAGUCGAAACUUCGUUCUCUCUUGAAUGUAUCCUGAGUACGGCGGAACACGUGAAAUUCCGUCGGAAUCUGGGAGGACCAUCUCCCAAGGCUAAAUACACCCUAGUGAUCGAUAGUGAACCAGUACCGUGAGGGAAAGGUGAAAAGCACCCCGGAAGGG